rnacentral:rRNA from 1 species
AUACGGAGGCUGCGAGCGUUAAUCGGAAUUACUGGGCGUAAAGCGUGCGUAGGCGGUUUGCUAAGUCAGAUGUGAAAGCCCCGGGCUUAACCGGGGAACUGCAUUUGAUACUGGCAGACUAGAGUAUGAUAGAGGGGGGUAGAAUUCCUGGUGUAGCGGUGAAAUGCGUAGAUAUCAGGAGGAAUACCAGUGGCGAAGGCGGCCCCCUGGAUCAAUACUGACGCUGAGGUACGAAAGCGUGGGGAGCGAACAGGAUUAGAAACCCUAGUAGUCC